CACCUGUUAGCUCUAUUAUUGCUCAAUAAUUUUUUAUCGUUGUUAGCCCAUUCAAUUCGUGGGCAGUGUUGUUUUUUUGGACGCAUGAAUCACAAUGUGAGUCGUGUCCAAAGGGGGAAUUGCCAAUCCCCUGGGACCCUUUGAUUGGGUCUGCUGGUUGGUCGGGAUUUCUCCCUAAGGAUUAGCCCACUAACUCCCUAACUCUGUAACUCUGCGGUUCUGGCGAUUGUGACUACAGAUGGUAUCUAGAUACAUGGAAAGGAUCAUUUGACCGAGAACAGUGGGAACCUCACCCCCUCUAACUGGCUGAACUAAUGGCGACAAUGGCAUUCACUAUGGUCCUUCACCAUUUUACGUGAGACCUGAGUCCGAGCCAGCAACUUGUACACAGCAUCCAGUCGAAGCUAUCAACUGCCUUUUCUCUCAGGAGUGUGACAUGAGUCCACGUGGAGUGAGCAUGGAGAGAGAUCCCGUCCAAACUUCUCUCAUGCUGCUGGUGUACAGUAAAGAUUCACGACAGGAACCGGCUUUCACAUAAGUCAAUCGAGGACUGCCUGCGCAUCAAAAUCACAACCCUCUCACUCGACAUCCACAAGAUCGUGUCCGAGGGGAAAUGCAACUUUUCCCAUUAAGAGCAGGUUAUCCCAAGACUCCUGAUACAGACAUUCAGACAUUGACUUCUUUUCUUUAAAUUAUUGUUUUAUGUAGGAUGUUACCUUGUUGGCCAGUUGCAAUUGUAAGUAGGCCAAAUGCAUUUUUUAAAAAUCCCAUUUCUAUUAGGCCAUUUUUCUUCUUGUGAAAGAUGCUGUUAAGCCUCAUAGCCUACCUCCGCUAGCUACGUUAUUUUAUAUGGGCCUUGGCUCUGAUUAAAUAAGCCUACAAUUAAGCCCUCUUGUUGUUUGUAAAGUCAAAUUAAAAUAAAGAUUAUCUGUUGAAAUGAA
ensembl:lncRNA